GGGGAUGCAAUGGUUUCGACAGAUACCUAGCAGUAUAAAUAGCGAGUGAUGGAUUCUCGUCGGCCAUCUAAAAAAACGAGAAAUAUAAAUAAUUAACAACAAUAAAGUUGCUUUAGCUGCCUAGUUGCGGCUACGUUUGACCAGGCUUGUCUACUUGGCUUGAAUCAGGCGUCGAUUAAAGUAGAACCGAAGCUAUCAAAACUUUGAGAUAGUGGGUAUUUAUAAAGUUACCGAAAAUAAAAGGGUGUUUGUCCUCGUCUAUUCUAGGGAAUUUUAAAAGAUAAACUGCACUCGGAGAAGUUUAUAUGAAAGGGUUUCUGGACAGGAGUUCGAUUCUCCUCAUCUCCACCA
rnacentral:tmRNA from 1 species